GUCAGUGCGUCAAAGUGGGAGAGUUGAGCCAGACUGUAAAUCUGGUGGCGAUGCCUGAAUAGGUUCGAAUCCUAUCACUGACA
rnacentral:tRNA from 1 species